AGUCAUAGAAAUAAAUCUUUAUUUAUAUUAGGAUAUUUAUGAAAUGCAGACUAUUUCGAAUAUUUAUGAAUUAUCAGGCAGGAUUCAAAUUUAGGAUAUUGUUAUUGCUUUAAUGCGAGAAAUUUUAUCAUUGAAUUGUGAAGAAUUUGCUAUACUUCACGUGAUAAAAAAGUCAAGAUUAAGUCCCACGAGGUUUCCCAUAUCUUAGUCCCGACAACUUGAUGUUUUCAACUUCGGAUUAAAAAUAAAACAGAAAUAAAAACGAUCGAUACGAAGUGGUUGAUAGAAUAGUUAGAAUUUCCAAAGUUCACGAUUUUAUAUAAAAUAAUUCGAGAUCGUGGCAUUUGACUAAAACAUGAAACACUAAUGGCUGAUUUCAUCGCGAUUUUUUUAAUCAUGCUAUUGAUAAAUACCACUGUAUCUCUAUCUCUUGACGAAAGAACGAUGAUGCAAACGAAUUUCUUGUACACGUAUUCGCAUACAUUGUAUAAGGACAAAUUGCAUGAUACGUCAAACGCGUAUGAAUAACAUGUUUUAAUGCACAAAAGAAAAACAUCGAGAAUGGUAAUAGCCGCAAAUGCCAAAUGGAAAAUUAUAAAUUAAAAUAAU